rnacentral:rRNA from 1 species
UACGGAGGAUGUAAGCGUUAUCCGGAAUGAUUGGGCGUAAAGCGUCCGCAGGUGGCAAUGUAAGUCUGCUGUUAAAGAGUCUAGCUCAACUAGAUACAAGCAGUGGAAACUACAUAGCUAGAGUACGUUCGGGGCAGAGGGAAUUCCUGGUGUAGCGGUGAAAUGCGUAGAGAUCAGGAAGAACACCGGUGGCGAAGGCGCUCUGCUAGGCCGUAACUGACACUGAGGGACGAAAGCUAGGGGAGCGAAUGGG